ACAAAACCCCAAAAAACUGUAUUUGCUAAUAUUGGGAUAAUACAGAGAAGAUUAGCAUGGUCCCUCUGUAAGGAUGAAAUGCAAAUUUGAGAAGUGUUCUAUAAUAAA